rnacentral:rRNA from 1 species
UAANCCUGAGAAACCCAAAAGAUCGAAUGGGGAGAUUCAUCGUCAGCGGCAUUGGCUUCCGUGUGAACGCGAUGGCCGGGAUCUCGGUCCCGCGUCACGCUUUGCUGCGGUAUGUCCGAUCUCGUCGGCGUGCACUUCUCCCCUAGUAGGACGUCGCGACCCGUUGGGUGCCGGCCUACGGCCCGGUUGGUCGACUGUCGCGUCGGCUCACGCGUGCACGUGACAGACCACCGGUCGCCCGGCCGGCUGCCCGGCGGUAUAGAUCGCUAAAAAACGGUAUUGGGCCGCAUUAAGUGCGUUCUGGCUCGUCGGCAGGCUCGUCUCGCUCGGAUUUACGGACUUAGCGCCGUUGCCGGNGCUUGGCGCGGCCGUUAGUCGACGAUGUCCUCGGACUGGCUCUUACAUUCGA